CGUGGUAUCCUGUCUGAAUAUGGGGGGACCAUCCUCCAAGGCUAAAUACUCCUGACUGACCGAUAGUGAACCAGUACCGUGAGGGAAAGGCGAAAAGAACCCCGGCGAGGGGAGUGAAAAAGAACCUGAAACCGUGUACGUACAAGCAGUGGGAGCACAGAGCAAUCUGUGUGACUGCGUACCUUUUGUAUAAUGGGUCAGCGACUUAUAUUCUGUAGCAAGGUUAACCGAAUAGGGGAGCCGAAGGGAAACCGAGUCUUAACUGGGCGUUAAGUUGCAGGGUAUAGACCCGAAACCCGGUGAUCUAGCCAUGGGCAGGUUGAAGGUUGGGUAACACUAACUGGAGGACCGAACCGACUAAUGUUGAAAAAUUAGCGGAUGACUUGUGGCUGGGGGUGAAAGGCCAAUCAAACCGGGAGAUAGCUGGUUCUCCCCGAAAGCUAUUUAGGUAGCGCCUCGUGAAUUCAUCUCCGGGGGUAGAGCACUGUUUCGGCAAGGGGGUCAUCCCGACUUACCAACCCGAUGCAAACUGCGAAUACCGGAGAAUGUUAUCACGGGAGACACACGGCGGGUGCUAACGUCCGUCGUGAAGAGGGAAACAACCCAGACCGCCAGCUAAGGUCCCAAAGUCAUGGUUAAGUGGGAAACGAUGUGGGAAGGCCCAGACAGCCAGGAUGUUGGCUUAGAAGCAGCCAUCAUUUAAAGAAAGCGUAAUAGCUCACUGGUCGAGUCGGCCUGCGCGGAAGAUGUAACGGGGCUAAACCAUGCACCGAAGCUGCGGCAGCGACGCUUAUGCGUUGUUGGGUAGGGGAGCGUUCUGUAAGCCUGUGAAGGUGUGCUGUGAGGCAUGCUGGAGGUAUCAGAAGUGCGAAUGCUGACAUAAGUAACGAUAAAGCGGGUGAAAAGCCCGCUCGCCGGAAGACCAAGGGUUCCUGUCCAACGUUAAUCGGGGCAGGGUGAGUCGACCCCUAAGGCGAGGCCGAAAGGCGUAGUCGAUGGGAAACAGGUUAAUAUUCCUGUACUUGGUGUUACUGCGAAGGGGGGACGGAGAAGGCUAUGUUGGCCGGGCGACGGUUGUCCCGGUUUAAGCGUGUAGGCUGGUUUUCCAGGCAAAUCCGGAAAAUCAAGGCUGAGGCGUGAUGACGAGGCACUACGGUGCUGAAGCAACAAAUGCCCUGCUUCCAGGAAAAGCCUCUAAGCAUCAGGUAACAUCAAAUCGUACCCCAAACCGACACAGGUGGUCAGGUAGAGAAUACCAAGGCGCUUGAGAGAACUCGGGUGAAGGAACUAGGCAAAAUGGUGCCGUAACUUCGGGAGAAGGCACGCUGAUAUGUAGGUGAAGUCCCUCGCGGAUGGAGCUGAAAUCAGUCGAAGAUACCAGCUGGCUGCAACUGUUUAUUAAAAACACAGCACUGUGCAAACACGAAAGUGGACGUAUACGGUGUGACGCCUGCCCGGUGCCGGAAGGUUAAUUGAUGGGGUUAGCGCAAGCGAAGCUCUUGAUCGAAGCCCCGGUAAACGGCGGCCGUAACUAUAACGGUCCUAAGGUAGCGAAAUUCCUUGUCGGGUAAGUUCCGACCUGCACGAAUGGCGUAAUGAUGGCCAGGCUGUCUCCACCCGAGACUCAGUGAAAUUGAACUCGCUGUGAAGAUGCAGUGUACCCGCGGCAAGACGGAAAGACCCCGUGAACCUUUACUAUAGCUUGACACUGAACAUUGAGCCUUGAUGUGUAGGAUAGGUGGGAGGCUUUGAAGUGUGGACGCCAGUCUGCAUGGAGCCGACCUUGAAAUACCACCCUUUAAUGUUUGAUGUUCUAACGUUGACCCGUAAUCCGGGUUGCGGACAGUGUCUGGUGGGUAGUUUGACUGGGGCGGUCUCCUCCUAAAGAGUAACGGAGGAGCACGAAGGUUGGCUAAUCCUGGUCGGACAUCAGGAGGUUAGUGCAAUGGCAUAAGCCAGCUUGACUGCGAGCGUGACGGCGCGAGCAGGUGCGAAAGCAGGUCAUAGUGAUCCGGUGGUUCUGAAUGGAAGGGCCAUCGCUCAACGGAUAAAAGGUACUCCGGGGAUAACAGGCUGAUACCGCCCAAGAGUUCAUAUCGACGGCGGUGUUUGGCACCUCGAUGUCGGCUCAUCACAUCCUGGGGCUGAAGUAGGUCCCAAGGGUAUGGCUGUUCGCCAUUUAAAGUGGUACGCGAGCUGGGUUUAGAACGUCGUGAGACAGUUCGGUCCCUAUCUGCCGUGGGCGCUGGAGAACUGAGGGGGGCUGCUCCUAGUACGAGAGGACCGGAGUGGACGCAUCACUGGUGUUCGGGUUGUCAUGCCAAUGGCACUGCCCGGUAGCUAAAUGCGGAAGAGAUAAGUGCUGAAAGCAUCUAAGCACGAAACUUGCCCCGAGAUGAGUUCUCCCUGACUCCUUGAGAGUCCUGAAGGAACGUUGAAGACGACGACGUUGAUAGGCCGGGUGUGUAAGCGCAGCGAUGCGUUGAGCUAACCGGUACUAAUGAACCGUGAGGCUUAACCUUACAACGCCGAAGCUGUU
rnacentral:rRNA from 1 species